UACGUAGGGUGCAAGCGUUGUCCGGAAUUAUUGGGCGUAAAGAGCUCGUAGGCGGUCUGUCACGUCGGCUGUGAAACCCGAGGCUCAACCUCGGGCCUGCAGUCGAUACGGGCAAACUAGAGUACUGCAGGGGAGACUGGAAUUCCUGGUGUAGCGGUGAAAUGCGCAGAUAUCAGGAAGGAACACCCGUGGCGAAGGCGGCUCUCGUC
rnacentral:rRNA from 1 species